rnacentral:antisense_RNA from 1 species
UGACUCUUCCAGGUUACAAAGUCAGCUCCAGGAUCAAAUAACUUUGGGCCAGAUCGUGAAGGAGUUGAACGCCAGGCUAAAGCGCUCAGAGGUUCUCCUGCGAGUAGUAGAGAACCACAAAAGGAUGAGGAGCAGCUGAGUGAGGCACCCGUGUUGUAUUUUAGUAAAAUCUCUCUGCAUUGGAGCCUGCCUGGGCCAGGACAUUGCUUCUGGACAAGGUUAUAGCUAACUCAUUCUCUGCUGAGCCUGUUUUACCUCCCAGACAGGGGUAUAUGUCAGAGCCAUUAUUCAAGAUCAGAUGACCUGUUAAACUGAGACUUCUGCACCAUCUGAACCAUCAGUCACUCAUCUGAACCAUCAGUCACUCAUCUGAACCAUCAGUCACUCUCUGGCCCAGAGAGGUGGUAUUUGCCAAGGACACACAGCAGGUGGCCAAGAUGGAGCCAAGCCAUUUUCCCCACUGCAGGGACCCCUGAUCUCCAUUCCCCUGGACAUCUCAAGGGCACAAAUUCUCUGGACACACGGAGGGAAUAAUGCUGACAUUUUAUAGAAGCUGAGCCACUGGAUAUCCUUCUCACCCAACUCCAUUAGGCUGGGGAGAGUAAGAGGCACGGUGACAAGGUGGCAAAGAUGUCACCGUGCCAUCCAAUCACGAGGUCUCCAGGAAACUGU